CUGCAUAUUUCGAUCCAAGGAAACCAUUGCUGAUGUAAAUUGCCUAAUGCCCUCAUUCAAAAUGUUCGACAUGGAGCGUACCUUGGUUAUUACAUUCUGCAAUAAUUCUCGCUAAUUCUCCCUAUCCUGCUGUAUGGAUGUCUCCAGUUCAGCUUGACAAGUCUGGAUCAUCGCAUACAGCGCAGCCAACGGUGGAGGAAGUUGUGGCAACGGCAUUUCUUCGGCCACUGAUGCCACUGAAUCAGGAUCUACUGCUGUUACGGUAAUGGUAACCUCCUCUUGCAGGGGGAGAG